UUAAAAACAUAAAUGUGGCGAUUUCAGGCCCAUUGGGUAUUUAAUAGUGACCACUAUUACUCGACUCAAGGCCCACAUAUCAGAUUCCCCGAAAAAGAUAUUUUUUUUUUCCUAGGCGCGAAAUCUGACCGUUAGUUCGUAGAAGAUAAAAUUCACAAGUCCCAGCCCUCUCUUUCCCCACACACACUCUCUCUGUGUGAACUUUGACGAUGGCAUGCAGUCUUUCCCAGCAAAUUCAAAUUCUCUGGGUAAGAUCUCCGCAUACCAAUUCAUCUUCCAAAUCACAAGCACUCAUCAGAAGGAGCCGCAAUUUUUCGUGUCGUCUUCGGACUCUCAAAUCUUCGUCUCCCAGAAAUUCAAGCACUUCGCCGCAAAGUUCGUCGGAAAAAUCUAAUUCUAAACCCCCUUUAGCACCCAAUCGGGAAGAUAUUCCCUGCUCAAAUUCGCCUUCUGGGUUUUCUCUUUUCGAUUCGUUUUCUAUUCGUCUUCCUCGUUUAAGUGAUGGUAUUCUUAAGUUUGAUGAACUCGUGCCGGAAAUAUUGUCAAUUGCAUUGCCUGCUGCUUUGGCAUUGGCUGCUGAUCCUCUUGCGUCAUUGGUUGAUACAGCCUUUGUUGGCCAUAUAGGAUCUGCUGAAUUGGCAGCAGUUGGGGUGUCAGUUUCAGUAUUCAAUUUAAUCUCAAAGUUGUUUAAUGUUCCAUUGCUCAACAUCACAACAUCUUUUGUCGCUGAGGAGCAGGCCUCUCUUGACAAGCGCGAUGACAAUUUCAGUCAACUUAAUGAAGAUUUCCAAGGUAGGCGUAAAAGCAAAAAAUACCUUCCCUCAGUGUCAACUUCAUUAGCACUUGCUGCUAGUAUUGGCAUUGCUGAAGCUGUUGCUCUCUAUCUUGGGUCUGGCACCUUAAUGGAUAUCAUGGGUUUACCUGCUGAUUCACCGAUGCGAGUACCUGCUGAGCACUUCCUUACCUGGAGGGGCUUUGGUGCUCCACCAAUUGUAAUUGCACUUGCUGCACAAGGCACUUUUCGAGGCUUCAAGGAUACAAAGACACCUCUGUAUGCCGUUGUUGCUGGCAACCUGCUUAAUGCUAUAUUGGAUCCAAUUUUGAUAUUCAUUUUCGGUCUUGGCAUUGGAGGUGCUGCAAUUGCUACUGUAAUUUCUGAAUAUUUAAUCGCUUUUAUUCUUCUCUGGAAAUUGAGUGGCGAAAUAUUGCUCAUCUCUCCUAAUAUUGAUGGGAGAAGGAUUGCCCGCUAUCUUAAAUCUGGUGGUCUUCUUAUUGGUAGAACCUUAGCAGUGCUUGUGACUAUGACGCUGGCUACGUCCAUGGCAGCAAGGGAAGGUCCCAUACGUAUGGCUGGUUAUCAGAUAAGCACACAAGUUUGGUUGGCUGUAUCUUUGCUUACUGAUGCAUUAGCACUUUCUGGUCAGUCACUUCUUGCCAGUGGUUAUUCCCAAGGAAAUUAUGAGCAAUCACGCAGUGUGGUUUACAGAGUUCUACAGAUUGGUUUGGUGACAGGAUUUGGUUUAGCUGUUAUUUUGUUCCUUGGUUUUGGAGCAUUUGCUAGUUUAUUUACCACAGAUUCAGAAGUUUUGGAUAUCACCCGGUCUGGUUUACUGUUUGUUGCUGGGUCUCAGCCAGUGAAUGCUAUAGCGUUUGUUCUUGAUGGGCUCUAUUAUGGAGUUUCAGACUUUGGAUAUGCUGCCUAUUCCAUGUUGGUUGUCGGCUUAGUUUCUUCCAUAUUCCUACUUGUGGCUGCUCCUGCAUUUGGUCUUGCUGGAGUCUGGACUGGAUUGUUUCUCUUCAUGUUCCUGCGUGUAAUAGCUGGAGUUUGGAGGUUGGGGACGAAAAGUGGACCUUGGAAAAUGGUAUGGGAUAAGUUGGAGCAUGAAAGCUAGUGAAAUGGUGCUUGAGGUUUCAUCCAAAGGCUUCCGUUCUCAGCUUUUUUUGACAUUGAAUCCCCUUGAGAUUGGUGCAAAUCGAGUCAACUUUGCCAGUGCACCAGUUAAACACCAGUUUUGUCAUGUGUUCGAAAGGCCCGUUGUUUUUUCGAGGCUAACAGGAUCAAGGUUUCCAUGUACUGAGCUUCUAACUUCUUGUUGAAUUCUAUUGUGUGGGGAUCCAGUGACUCAUGAAGGUUUUACAAACAAGUCAACUUUGCUUCCUUAAUUUACCAGAAAACACUGCACAAGUGGUUUUGUUAUCUUGGAGGUGGAUGUUAGACCGGGAAUUGUAGAAUCCGAAGUUGCUCAUAGAUUUGUGUAAACGGUUGUUGAAACAACCAACUCUUAUACCAUAUGUCUUUUCCUUCUCAGGUUUCAAUAGAUUCUCUUAUCCUAAGUGGAGGUGCUUUAUUGAAUUGAAAGCUUUGAAAGCCAAGUUAAAAAGAUUGCGAGGCAGUGAUAUGAAAAGAGCAUUUUUUUUAUAUGUGACAAAUUAAUUCCUAGGGGACAAAAAACAA